rnacentral:lncRNA from 1 species
UUCUAAGUGGCAAGGCCAUGGAGGUCAGAAGAUUGCUUGCACUCUACUAUUUCUCUGUUCGUAAUUCCUUGCCAUCCCAGUUAACACUUUUCAGAUCAAGUCUACAAAUAAUUGUGUUAAAUUGCUUUUGUUUAAUACUUCAUACAUUGCAAAAUUGCUUUUAUAUUUGCAUUUGAGUGUUCCAACAACUCUUGAGAAAGGCUGAAGAAGUAUAAUUUUUUCUUUUUUAUAGAAGAAGAAAUGCAUGACUUAAAUACAGAUUUUUAACUUCUAUUCCACUAUUCUGAUGCCACAAUAUUCUUUUCCUUUAUAAUCAUUCAAUAAAUAAUCUCAACCUUUUGCCUAUUUUUACA